CCUCUUUUCUGGAACUCUAUAGUGUAGACAACUUUAUGAAAGUAAACAAAUUUGAGAAGAAAUGAGUUAGGACAAUCAUCUAGGAAAGAGUGAUUAUGUACUUAUUAGGUAAACUUACUUGCAAUUGUUUGUCCAAAACACUUUCCGUUCUUUAUGUCAUUCAUAAGUUCCUUCAGUUUUAACAUGAAUACUCUGGCAACGAUAUCUGGACGAUCUUCAGGUUUCUGGCCUGGAAUCAGGUCCAACAUAUCUUGUAUUUCCAGCCAUUUUGGAUUGCAUGUAAAAGUAAUGAAGAGAUCAGGAUAGCCAGCCCAACGACAAAUCGCCAUGGCAUCUUGGUAGUUUUGCUGCUUAUUUCUUGGACUGCCAUUAUAUGAUGAGGGUAGUAUGAUUCUUUGUCCAACUUGUUCAGUUCGUGUAUCUCCAUUUUCUAUUGCAUCAUGCAGUCCUCUGUACAGUUCUGUCCUCAACUUACCUUGGUUUGUCCUGUACCAAUUUAGUCUCCACUGUUCAAUGCACGUUGCUGCAUCAACUAAGAACUGCAGGAACAAACGUCCACUCAUUUGCAAUGUUGAAGCUUGGUUCAGACGUUGUUGUAUGCGAUACGCAUAAAACUCCAGCAUUGUUACAUACUUUCUUUUACCUUUGCUGCCUCUUUUAUUUUCAUACUCUAUUUCUGGUCUGAAACCAUCUUCUCCAUAUGGAAAAAGCAAGGGGUACUGCAUUGACAUAUAGCUUGGGUGCAACUCUGAAAUCCUCUACAACAUUCUGUCUUUGGUCUCAACUAUUAUAUCAAAAUUAUUUUCUCCAUCUUGUUCCCCAAUAAUUAGUGUUGCGACUUCUGAGGCAGAUGGUAGGUUGUAUUGCCGUCCAUCUUUCGACCUUUUGUUGAUCAAUCUUAGUCUUACAUCUUUAAUACGUAGGUUUUGGAAUCUGUCCCUUGCCAUACGAAAUGAUUUGACUAAAACAUUGUGCUCAUCAAGCAUCUCCAGUAGUCCUUUGACAAUGUUUUCAUCUGGUUGUGUCUUACUCUCCGUUGAAGAAGAUGCAUUAAUCCUAUUCCACACUUCAUUUUCUGUGUCAUGUAUGUACAAUUGGGCAAAUUUUGGUUUCGUUACGUCAUCCUUAGGAAGUAAAGUGCCAAUCUGAUGGUAAUUCUUGCCAUUCAAACGGAAAACAUACGGUCCAGAUGCCUGCUUAUUAAUUUCAUAGUCAACCUUUCCUCCCAUUGGAGUGAAUGCGAACAUCGAGUUGUACAACCUGAUGUUCUGGCGAAAAUUUGAUGAUUCUCCUUUUUCAUUGUAACGUAGUAGCUGUCGGCGAUACAGCGGAGCUUGCUUCAGUGGUGGUAAUUUAACUUUCCCUUCCUUGCAGCAGAGACCAAAUUUUGGAACUGUGAUGUUACCUGUGCUUGUGCUUCUCUCUCCAUGCCACAUAAUGGCAUUGCAAAAUUCACAAACACAAUUUGGUUUUCCCAGAUAUGAAACUUGAGUGACAUCCUUCGCUACAUUAGAUACUUCACAAUCAUUGCCCUUUUCUGUCCUUAGUCAUUUGCUUGCCUUUUUCAGCUGGAGGAUUCUUUCGUUUUCCGCCUAGCUUCCUUUGCAGCUGCUCUAAUGAUGUCUGAUUGACUAUCAUUAGAUUCGAGUGUUGCUAGUUUAGAGGCUGCUUGCUCAGUGCGUGUUCGACGCAUGUUGACUGCGGCUAGUGAAUCCUGAAAUAAAUGAGGCACCACAUUGUUUGCAAGGAUGCUGAAGGAGACAUGCAUAUAUUAUUUGUGGAAGGAGAUAAUGAACAUUGGCUGCAAGUACUGCCACACAACCUGUCUGCUCCUUGCUGCUUGCGAGAGGACGGCAAUGUCUUGCCGGGAUGUGCACGCUCUGUAAUUAGUGAUCUGAAUCCCAAGUUUAUCGGCGCUUUCUCUCUGUAAUUCAAGUUAAUACAAAGCAUGUGUAAUGAGAUCGGAGAGUUAAUGCAUAUAUUAAUCAUUGCAAGGAGACAUGCAUGUAUUAUUUGUGGAAGGAGAUAAUGAACAUUACCUGCAAGUACUG